AUGGUGUGUGAACUAGACCAUGACUUUGAGAAGAAACUGUGGUCCCCAAACAGGGCUUUCAGACAGGAGAAGGCAGCUGUUUCUGUUACGGGAAGCCUUGGUCUGCCAUCCCACCGGAAGUCUGUCUGGGAGGUCUUCUGCCGGCUGGCUAGUCCCAGCCAUGUCCCAAUAGAGACCCAGUGCCCAGAAGGGCCUUGUCCUCCUGCGGCCCAGCACCGGCACCCCUGUGCUGUUCCAGUCCCCAUCUGCCAACUUGCCCAGGCUCUGAGUCCAGGCUGUCAACUAACUGGGCCCCGAGGACAGACGCCUCGCACAACUCCUGAGGACAUGGUUCAGCUCCUUGACACUCAUAGGAGGUCACUGCAUGAAGUCCUUCCCUUCUAAGCUUGAGGCAGAACUGUAAGCAAAGAAGGCAUGACAUGUUGGCUGUCUUCCCGGGUCACAGCUUUGCAAGCUGCUGCUGCAGAGAAAAGAGGAUUCUGCCUCAGUAGGCAGAAAGUAGCGCUCUGACCCAGGCGAAGAGAAGUUUUCACUGUCCAUUACCCAGCCGUGUCUCUGGGCAAAUCACUGCUCCUCUUUGGUCCUCAGUUGUCACACCAGUCCCAGGACUAGGUGAGUAGCUCAGUAGCUAAGGUGUAUUCGAUGCAUUUGGAUCUCCGGUGUUUUCCGCUUAUCGAUAGGUUUAUCAGGGGGUAACUCCAUCAUAAGUUGAGAAGUAUUUGAAUAGUAGCAGUUAUCUGUGUACAUAUCACCACAAUCUGUGUUGAGACAUUUCCACUGUCCUCCCCCA
rnacentral:lncRNA from 1 species